AAAAAUAUUAAUUUAACAUAUAUACAGUGAUUGGGAUAAGCACGCGCCCUGCACCAUAGUCGCAUUAAAUAAAAAAAAUGGCGCAUAGAAUAUUGAAACAUUGCGCCGUUGUGGCGCACAUCGUUGAUAUACCUAGUUUGAGAUUUUCCCCACUGACUUCGUAGAUAUACGAACUUUUCAACUUUUGAGCUGAUCCCCCACUUAAUCUUUAUCGAUUAAUUAAGUGCUUGAAAAAUCUUUAUCGCUGUUAAUGCUUUAGUAAUAGUACAACUUUACGUUCUUUUAAGCGCAAGUAUGACUUAGAUUUCCUCGUGUCUAAUCAAACAGUAAAAAGUUAUCUGAUUUGUUCGUUAAAUUGCAAUUUUAAUGCGCACGGACUGGAGAUUCCACGGAAAAAAAAUUCUUAAGCCUGACAAAGGGUAAACUGACUUUAAUUUUUUGCCUUAAUGAUCAGCCAAUACUGGCAGGAGCAGAAGGAGACGAUGACGCGGACAAUCACGAUAAGAAUCCUUACUUUAAUAAAACACGAUGAAUCAUGAUGAUCCCUUUGAUCUCAAAAAGCCAAAGAAAUCAGAGAAAAAGGGAAAAUGUCCUAGCAUGAUGAGAAAAUAGGAAACAGUGCUAUUGCCUCACAUAGAGAAACCAGUAAGGAGAAUGAUGCAUUUUCAGGGAAAAUGUCCAAGCAUGAUGAGAAAAUGAGGAGAAUGAUGCAUUUUCAGGGAAAAUGUUCAAGCAUGAUGAGAAACUGCGCCAUUGUUUCACUUACAGAAGCCAAUGUUGAGGAUGAUGCAUGUUCAGGGAUAUUGCAGUCAAUGACUGGGAUUCAUCUUAUAAUGCAAAAGUUGGAGAUAAGCUCCUACAGUGAAGGACCCUGAUUAUGAACCAGACCACUGCUCCGACAGUGAUUCAGACUCUCUAAUUGAAGAAAACCAAGAUGAUCUUCCUGACAGUUUUAGGAAAGUGACCUCAUGAUAGAAGUUUCAGAAUGUCCUACCAUUGAUCCUGGAAGUGAAAAAGUAUCUGAUAGUGAAGAAAGCUACAGUAGCAUAGAGAGUGAAAACUAUCCCAUGCUCUCUAGAAAGAAAGAAAAAGACAUUUCUUUUUAAGCCAUAAGGUGUUCCCAAAAAUUCAAUUGGAAACUUCAACAAACUGCAUGCCUGCUUUUUUGUGAUAAGAUGAUUGCUAACAUUGCAAGACAUCUUGAACUAGCACACAAAGCAGAAGUUGAAGUAGCCAGGGUUUUAGCUUUCCCCCCAAAUAGCAAAGAAAGGGGAUAAAUGAAUGAGGAACUUCAAAGUAUUAAUGUGUGCAUUAUGUAUAAAUUUAUUGGAUGUAAUCACUAGUAAAACCGAUUUUGCUUAAUAUACAUUUUUUUCUAUGCACUGCAUAAUUAUGUAGAUGCAAUAACUGGGACUUAACAUUUGAAAAGAAGUUGUUUGUGAUUCUUUGCAAUUGUACUAUGAACCUGUAAGUUACAUCAUUAAAUAUAAUGCUAGAUUCAA